rnacentral:misc_RNA from 1 species
UCCUGGAAUCUGGAUCGAGAGAUAAGGCGAAGAUUAUUGUUAAAGUUCUUAUUGUGCGUCAUUUUCAGUUGACCAAAAUCUAUGUGAAUUUACGGUAUUGGCUAACCAAAAGCCAUGGCUGAAGCAGUGCGCCCAAAGAGUAAGAAAAAAGGGAAACCUAAGUUAAAGGAGAUAUUGGUUGAACAUGCUGAUCCCUUCUCAAAUACUGAAAACCAGCCAAGCUGUUCAGGGACUGAGAGUGACAUUAAAAAAGAACUAGGAACCAUCUUGCCAAGCAUAGAAGAUGAGAUCCAACAGGGUGCACCCAUCACAACAGAAAGUCAUAAAAACAUUACAGCCAAACAUAUUCCAAACCAUUUAGUUGAAGAUGAAGCCAAGUUAUUUGAAAAUGGAUCUGAACGUGUGUUUGCUAAACAAGAAAAUGAAGCUGUGUUGUUUCAAGAAGGUUCUAAAUUGCAAGAAGCUUCAAUAUGUGAGAAUUCUAUUCAUGAACAACUCAUGGAACUUUUAAUUGAAUCACCAAAAAUUAAGCCAGAAAUUCCCUCAGCACCAGCUCCUAGCAUGUUGAAUGGUACCUUUGAAUUCAACCUUGACCUACCUAUUGAAGAAAAGGCAGCAGACAUUGUAUUUCCACAGUCAUUUGAAAAUAGCAUCAGUCAAGCUGUUUACAAGCAACAACAAUUCAAUAGUUUAAAACCUUUCACUGCAGAGCAGCUGGUGUCCUUUUAUGAAAACCCUUUAUUAUUGGGCGAGGAGGCUGUGGUGGAAAGUUUUCUUGACUGUCGAAAAAAUUUAGAAACGCAUCCCUUAUAUGAAAACCUAACAUACUUUUUGCGCUCUCGACUUAUGUUAAAAAGCAAUUUAGAAGAACUUGAGCAGUUUAAUCGAGAUGUUGAAGCUUUGACAUCUCAGCUGUGGACAACAGAAACCAGAAGAAUGAUUGAAUAUGGUGAAUGCGCCGACAGCAAGCGAGUUAAGGCGCACUACGAUUUCCCUGUGGCCCAUCUCAAUGAGAAGUCCUCACUUCAGCUAAUUCGGCAGUUACAGCAACAACGUGAAAAAAUUCAAGAAAAGCUAGUUUUGAGUGUCUACGAAUCUCACUUGUGGAGGCUGCGAGUUGAUUGGUUAAUUUGCCAGGGCAGCCAACACAGUGAACAUGGCUCCAUUUCGGUUCUUUUUGCCUUUUUGCGUCGACCAGUCAAAGAUAAAAUGUUCGUCGAUCAUCUGAAGUUCUGGUUAAAUUACGUUGCCGUUUCUUUAUUGAAACGAGCUAGAAAAGAAGAUUAUAUUUUCCUUGCUCAUCACGCAGUGCGCUGCCCAACUGGAUUGGCUAGAUGGGGAAGUCCGUACGUGCAAACACCUUUUUAUGAUCCUUUCGAAGACCGCCAGGGCACAAACAUUCAUCACGUUGAUGUCGGAUUAGCCUUACUGUCCAUCCUCUGUCAGCCGGUUCGAAGCCGCCAAGAAUUCCUUCAAAGCUGGGUUGAUCCCGACCAGGACAGCCAUUGGGUAUGGCUGGAUUCAGAGGGUGAAGACGAAUGUAGUGGUAAUCAAACGUCUGUGAUGAACUUGACAGAUGAUGACCUCUUGUCAUUACUUAAUCAAAUUCCACUGGCCAAUGUUUUCCGUUUUGCCUUUCGACUACGGAACCAAGAUGAAAUGGACGUCUCUACCGGCUUACUUGAAGCUAGCGAAUGGCUCCGCGCGUUCGCCAUUUGCCGUCAUCUGCUAAAAAUGUUCGACUCCGGAAUGAAAACCUAUCAAGGAAAACGCUACAAGAACCUUGCCAAAAAAUUUGGGCAGCUGAUUUUACAUACUGUUUGCAAUCUGUCGGACUUCUGGCAAGAGCAAAAAGCGUUCGUGACGUCUAUGGGAGAACGAUUAUCGAGGGAAUACGAACACUUAUUCCUAGAAGGAAUAUCUUUAUUGAUCGGAACAAGGCAACAGCGAUCAUGGCAGCUUCUAAGUCGAAUUCCGCUAAGUGGGCUGACUCCUAGACUAAGAUUCGAGCUCUGGUUGCGAUGGCACUCGGAGAUUAUUGGCGAGCCCAUUGAGAUGGAUAUUUCCGAUUCCUUCCACUCCGACUCCUUUUGGAAUCUUCUAAACACGAAAUUGGUUCAACUCCCUGAACCAGAUCGGUUCGUCUUUCUGGUGACUCUGGCAGAAAUGGCCAGUGAUGGCUCCACCUCGUCUGAAGACUGUUUUCUCCAGCUAGUCGCCUGGGAAUUAACCGAACUCGGGUUGUUGAAUAAACUCACCAGGGAAGUUUGUUUCAAAACCGCUGCGGAAUUGUUAGUCACUAUAAUCAGCCGUUUUCCGCCACUUGUCUCUUUCGUCUUACAACGGUUGGAGGUCCAGCAACUGAUACCUACCGCUUCAUUAUCGUUGUUCAAAGAUUUACCUUUACAUCGAUGGAAACCUACCACUAAGGACUUCCAAUUACUACGAAAUUGGUUGCUAAAUGACGCCCUGGAUUCCGUCCGUCAUCAGCUUACCGUCACAGUGUUGACUCGUUUGAACUGGACCUUAGAAGACAAUCCUAAACGUCCUUUCCUGACAACAUCUUUCCACCAGCAGACGGCUUUACUAUUGACAGAGGUUGUAGCCGUUCAUGGCAGGCUUCCAGUCCCUUCAGCCGUUCCAGUGUUGGCAUCAAACUUUCUGGCCGAUUCUGUGCAGUUUCUUGCCAGCUUUUCGCGUUCGUGGAAUUCUUCGAGCUUGGUCCAAUGGGCCUGGCACCUAGCCCUCAAACUCCGCUUACACACAUUUGACUGCUUCCCGGAUCAUCUUAUGUGGAUUCUGCACCAUCCACAACAGGCCUUCCGCAACGUACGGCAACUGCAAGACGACCCACAAUUGUCGAUUUUGCGCCAACCACAGCCUACACCUUUAAGCUGCUUCAUAGCGCUCUCCAUGACGAAUGCCGGACAUAGUGUCCCUGAAUUUUGUUCGGUCGGCAUGGAUCUCUUGUACAUUUUGAGUAUCGCUGAUCAACACCGCCCCGUCGUGGCCUUCCUCAACCAUUUAUUUCCCCUUAUAGUCACAUGCCCUGAUGUACUCUACGAUCAGCCUAAAUUGCUAGAAAUCUUCCAACGACUAAUUCAGGCUGAUCUGACUUACUACAAGAGGGCUAAAAACUUGUUGGCACCCCAAUUUCCUGGAGUAGUCCUCAAAAUGAUGGCUUCCUUAAUCGAAAACACCAUUUGGAAGCUGAACGGGUUAUAUUUGACUGGAGCCACACCUGCACUUGAGAUUUGGCUAAAUUUACUCACAAGUCUACCCAAAUGGAAUGUCGACAAAAGUGUGCUUUAUCUCCUUGACAUAUUGGCUAGAAUCGCCUGGGCGAAUUCUUCUGAUAUCCAAAGUUUUAAUCGAAUAUUAUCCGUUGUUCUUAAAGAAUCAAGUAAAGUUCAUCGGCCGUCCAAAGGUAUCGUGUCACGCGUAGGUAAUUGGGUGAGUGGAUCAUCUGAGGCUCUUGUUCAGUUGGAUGCAACCGAAUUGAUUUCACCCACCCCUUCGCUGCCUUAUCUGUCAUGGAUAGUCUUAGGAAUGGAGAUGGAACGCCAGUCUAAAUUGUGGCAACAUCUUAUCAUCGAAUUGCAACCGGGCAAGGUGAAAAGCAUCGAACAAGCUUUGAAAUCCAUUGCAGGAUUUCUUAAAAUUCCGUACAUUGGUGUCCAUCAACUUUGUUUGAUCCGCUACGCGCAAAUGGCAUUGGAACUGAAUCCAGACCACCCGCUUUUGCCGGUAAUCAUCCAACGUUUCUUCAGUCUGUAUUUUGCUCGUACAGAAGCAAUGGAAGUUGGUACUGAUAGCUGGGCCGUCGGGCAACGGAUCAUGACGAAUUCGUCCACUUUUUCUUCCUUAUUGAAACGUCUCGUUUUGAAGUGGGAAGAAAGUGCAAAAAAAUUUCAGAGUGACCUCCUGCGUUCCAGUUUUUUGCAAAGUUGCUGUCUUUGGGUGGAAGAUGUCAAAUUACUAGAACCUCACGUUUAUUUGCCAUCUUUAGCACCAAAUUACCACCCUGCACGACUUCUCCAACUCUUUCAAGGCUCCGAUUUAUGGAUAGACUUGUGCGACUUGAACGCCAUUCACGCGGAUCGUCAAGAACUAAGAGAAUCAUGGAAUAAGGAGAGAAACAUUACUUCGCCAACAGUUUCCCAACAGAAAUCAGCGGAGUCUCUACAUUCUCAAAAAGACACCAUCUAUGCAAGACUGCAAACCUAUCCGACCCCUAUCCGUUUAACUCAGGUGGCCCUCCAGCUUCCGUUUUCCAGGCUUUUGUUAACGGCUUUCAGAAAUGCUAGUGAUUUCCGCCUACAACUUAUUCCGCAUCUUCAAGUUAUAGUAGACUGUGCAGAUCAAUUCAAUCGACGAAUGGCCGAAUUGACGUCCCUUGACUGUCACUAUUCCGAGCUAUUAACAGAACUAUAUUGUCCCUACCGGUCCGAACGGACAAUGACUGUCAAGUGUGAUGGAACACAAUCAGGAGCUUGUAGUGGAUCGGCUGUAAUAAAACUGAGUUGCGAGCCUUGGAGACUCAAUACUUCCGUUCGUAAACAGUUAGACACCAAUAGGCAAGAAGCGACUCGGUUACACUCGGCCUUUCAGGAUGCCAAUGUCCAGUGGCUUUGUGUGGCCGCUCUUCUUCUCGAAGAUUGUGUCGAUCAAAUCCAAGGCUCAUCGGAUCCGAACGUACUAGAAACUGGAGCAGCUCUCUUUUACAUCUUGGUUGAGCUUGUCGGUGAAGAGAGUAACAAUUAUUUACCUACCAAACAGUUGCUAUCUACUUGUCUUGAACGAUUAGGUCAGCAUUGCAUUGCCGGGCAUCCUGAACAGUGCCGAAACCUCGUAGGAUUGUUGAGCAGUAAUUCCAAUUUGGCCGGUCUAGUGGCACCUCAUUUCACUCCAUCGACACCGGAUCCUUCCAGUGCCUCCGUCAGCGCGUUUUUGGACUCGUAUCGGCUAGUUAUAGGCCUUUCCAAGCAAGAUAGUGAUCUUGUUCUUGUUCUUCUUACCAAGUUCGAUGUCCGCUGGUGGUUGAACUGCGCUGAGUGUUGGCCACACGAUCGCUUAAAAUUGUUGGAAAUCAUCUUCGCUGCCUUGGAUAGUUAUGGUCUGCAGCCAGUGGAAAGAGCACUGGCAGUUCACGAAGUCCUACGACGUCAUUUACAACUAAUACUGUCGCAAAAUUUCCCGGAGCAGUACAGUCACUUUCUACACCAUUUGCUAAAAGCUAGCGAAGCCCAAAGUUGCAGUCCUGUGGUUUGGUGCGAUACGAUUAAUACCCUAGGUCAAGGAUGGCUCCGCCUUCAACCGGAGUUAAGCAUGGAGGAGUUUCUUCAACAAGUUUUGCAAUACACCACCCAGCAGACGUUACUGGAUGCCAAUAAAAUGAUGGAAACGGUAAUUUUAAUGUCUCAACACUUUUCCACGGAACGACAACUCCAUGGUCUUUAUGGAUUGUAUCCAAAGUAUCGGCCUUAUAUCCAUGUUAUCGCCUGCUUCCUUCUGACAAUCGGCCAUGGAUUGUGUUUUACCACAUUGCAGAAUGAUAAUGGGACAGCUUCUGAUUUGCUGGUUGGGCAGCUCUGGGCUGCUAUUCGGGACCUAUAUUCCCCCUGGAUACUUCCCUACACCCAGCAGCAGGUGAACUCCAAUUGUGCCGCUUGGAUUCAACACGCCUUGUCUGACUGUAAAGUUUUAUUGCCAUGGAUCGCUGCCGAUAGUGGUUUAGCAUCACUCAUGGCCUCUUCUCUUACCCACUGUACCACAUUCAUUCAUGAGACGCUUCCUGCUCAGCAGAGUAUCUUGUCUCACAUACUGGCCUUCUAUUUGCAAGGAUUUUGCCACACAGCAAUUAAACUGCAUAUACUUAAGGUAAUCCACCAAGCACUGGAUACGUUACCAUGGCAAUCAUUUGUUCCGUCACUGAAUGAUUUGGAGCAGUUAGUCCGUGUAGCAGGACAGUUCUUACCCGAAGUGCAUUCCUUCCUAGUCAGUCUUUUCGUCCGUUGCUGCUUAUCCACAGUGAUUGUCCACUGUAACUCGCAGCCGACAACAUGUGCGAGACUGUUAGCCUGCUUACUGCACCUGCAUGUCCGGUUAGCUGGUGAACCGACGGCUCAACAGAAUCCCAUGAUGAAACGAAUCCUAGACGAAGCUUGCUCAUAUCCGUGGCAAUUCAUAGACGCUAGUGUCUAUGAUCAAGUAUUAAAUUGGUACAUCUCAACUUGUGAUCCACUUUUCAUUUUGCAACCCUACUUGGAGCGACAAGAAACACCGUGCAGUUCCAAUGAUCCUCUGGUGUUUCGUUUGUUACAAGCGGUCAGUAGCCACCAUUUGCAGUCAAGCGACCAUAUUGGCAACUCACCCAAGCGGCAAAUAUUCGUUCGUUCUUGGAUCCGUCUGAUCGCUUUGACCGUCUCUCGACAUCGGUCUCUCAUUCAGCAACAUCCUAGAGCUAUUCCUAAUGCUAUUGGGAAUUUACUGGAUUUCAUCUGCAAAAACACCCACUCGGCGGAAUACAGGAAUGACAUUCAUGAGUAUAUGACAGUUGCCAUAUCGAGCUCUAGUCCCAUCGCCGAUACCCUUCAAAACUGCCUGUGUCUUCGGAUGAACUGCUAUCCUGUCAAUGCGGCCUUGGUGGAAAAUGUUCUUCGAGUGAUUGCCGUUGUAAAUGGUGGUGGUAGCCAUGAUGGCCAAAAACGAAUGGCAGCCGUGCUAGAAUCUGCCUUAGAACAGUUUGAGGGAACACGUUCUGUUAUUUUUGAUUUGCUUCCGAUUGGAGGUUCAAAGGAGUUAGCAGCAGUUUCCUGGCAACAAGGCUGCAUUUUGAGUUGGUAUUGUCUUGUUAGCAACCAAGAGAAACCCGAUGCAGCAGAUGGGCCUUACCUUUUGGAACAAAUGCUCUCGAACUGCAAGGCACUUUCAUUGAGUGAAGCAAUUGAGCCAAAGCUCUGUUUCGUGUACGAAAGACUGCUAACUGUUUGGAAUCUUACCUCGCCAAAUCUCAGUCCUAAAAAGACAGCUGUGAAAGCAGAAUGGUGUGAAUUACUCGGCUCCUGGACUGAAGAAAACAAAAGUUGGUUAUCAACAAUUGGCCUGGGUAAAGCACCCAGACUGUCAUCCAAGGGUCGCUGUUUGGCUCACGUCAUAUUGUGUUACUUGCAGCAAUCUAAGAUAGCUCUGGAUCAGCUAGAGAACAGAUGGAGAGUAAAUCGUCAUAACGCAGACUGCAAGCCAGCAGUGGAGAGUGCCUUGGAAGCCUUGAAAUCGGGCAAACCUGAUGAUGGCUACACUGUUUAGUGGAUCGUCUGCAGUAGAAAUUCAUGGUUCAUCAGAAGUGGCAGCUAGGUGAAGUCCUUGAGUGCCUCAAGAAGGAAUCGCCGAACAUCGUCAUACAGUAUGUUUUCCUUCAACAAUUAAUCUUGCAUCUCCAACCGUGGAAUGAGUUACAUGUGACUUGAGACAAACAAACGGUGCAAUUGCAACAAUAAAAUUAGUUAGCGAUUAAAAUUUGCCAUAUCUUCAUGCCAACAACAAGGAUUCUGCUUUUUCACAGACCUUCAUUAUUAAUGUGGUUCUUCAGGUAUGGUCACUAUAUCAGCAGUUUAACACACAGUGUGAAUCGUAAAUACACCAAUCCCAGAGAAAACAUUCCAAUGGAAAAUAUUGGGAAUUUCUACCCUUCGAUCCUAAACUGCACAAUGCUGGAUUAGACAGUACAAAAAAUUCUUCUCACGGAAGUUUAUGAUUUUGGACUUGCUUGAGAUGACCCUUGAGACAAGAAGCUUUUCCUGCUUUGUGUGGACAGGAAUAUUAGAGGCAUUGAUGUCUGAAACCAACAAGUGUCUUGCAAAUAAAGUAAAAAGAAACAUUGAUGUUGGUUAUCCUCUGAGUGAUGCUGAAGCCUGGUAUCUUAUUGAUCCAUUGUUUCUAUUCAUGGGAAAAAGAAUGUUGUGUGGGAGAAACAGGAUCACAAUUGA